rnacentral:sRNA from 1 species
AUGAAUAAAAGGUUAUUUGAGCCAAAUUACAGGAAUGUGUAAUACUUGAGGGUUAGCUGGAGAACAAUGACCAGGUAUUGGGAGGGCUGGUCUCAACACAUUUCACUCUUCAGGGAGCCAAUUGAUAAUCUGAGUCCUGAGGAGCGUGAUGCCCGCACAGUUUUCUGUAUGCAGUUAGCUGCCCGAAUUCGGCCUCGAGAUCUGGAGGACUUUUUCUCUGCUGUAGGCAAGGUUCGCGAUGUACGUAUCAUCUCAGAUCGGAACUCACGUCGUUCUAAGGGCAUUGCCUACGUGGAAUUCUGUGAAAUCCAGUCUGUGCCACUGGCCAUUGGGCUGACUGGGCAGCGGUUGCUGGGAGUGCCUAUCAUUGUACAGGCUUCACAGGCAGAGAAAAACCGACUGGCAGCCAUGGCCAACAACCUGCAAAAGGGCAAUGGUGGACCAAUGCGCCUCUAUGUGGGUUCCCUGCACUUCAAUAUCACUGAAGACAUGCUCCGGGGCAUCUUUGAGCCCUUUGGUAAAAUUGAUAAUAUUGUCCUGAUGAAGGACUCGGAUACAGGCCACUCUAAAGGUUAUGGUUUCAUCACGGUGAGUCUCUAGUCU